rnacentral:rRNA from 1 species
UACGUAGGCAGCGAGCGUUGUUCGGAGUUACUGGGCGUAAAGGGUGUGUAGGCGGUUAUUUAAGUUUGGUGUGAAAUCUCCCGCUCAACCGGGAGGGUGCGCCGAAUACUGAGAGGCUAGAGUGCGGGAGAGGAAAGUGGAAUUCCUGGUGUAGCGGUGAAAUGCGUAGAUAUCAGGAGGAACACCUGUGGUGUAGACAGCUUACUGGACCACUUCUGACGCUGAGACACGAAAGCGUGGGUAGCAAACAGG